AACUAACGCUGGCAGUGCGUCUUAAGCAUGCAAGUCAAACGGAAUGUAGCAAUACAUUCAGUGGCGAACGGGUGAGUAACGCGUGGAUGAUCUACCUACGAGAUGGGGAUAACUACUAGAAAUAGUAGCUAAUACCGAAUAAAGUCAAUUAAUUUGUUAAUUGAUGAAAGGAAGCCUUUAAAGCUUCGCUUGUAGAUGAGUUUGCGUCUUAUUAGCUAGUUGGUAGGGUAAAUGCCUACCAAGGCGAUGAUAAGUAACCGGCCUGAGAGGGUGAACGGUCACACUGGAACUGAGAUACGGUCCAGACUCCUACGGGAGGCAGCAGCUAAGAAUCUUCCGCAAUGGGCGAAAGCCUGACGGAGCGACACUGCGUGAAUGAAGAAGGUCGAAAGAUUGUAAAAUUCUUUUAUAAAUGAGGAAUAAGCUUUGUAGGAAAUGACAAAGUGAUGACGUUAAUUUAUGAAUAAGCCCCGGCUAAUUACGUGCCAGCAGCCGCGGUAAUACGUAAGGGGCGAGCGUUGU
rnacentral:rRNA from 1 species